UACGGAGGAUCCGAGCGUUAUCCGGAUUUAUUGGGUUUAAAGGGUGCGCAGGCGGGCAUAUAAGUCAGUGGUGAAAUCUCUCGGCUCAACUGAGAAACUGCCAUUGAUACUGUAUGUCUAGAGUACAGAUGAGGUAGGCGGAAUGUGUCAUGUAGCGGUGAAAUGCUUAGAUAUGACACAGAACACCGAUUGCGAAGGCAGCUUACCAAACUGUUACUGACGCUCAUGCACGAAAGCGUGGGGAGCGAACAGG
rnacentral:rRNA from 1 species